GUUCCCACAGCUCUCGGUGAGGGCUUCUUGAAGGUGCCGCCCUUUAGCAAGACCAGGGCCUUUUCUCUGGUCCCUGUCUCUUCUGGCCAUUUGCCUUCCCACGUCUAGGAAGCUACCUCGGUUUCUAGGAUUUACAUAUGUUUAACAUGCGCAUUCGCCCUCCUGCCGAGCACUUUGCUGACAGCACACACAAUGGUGGGGCCUUGAGGCUUGCCACAGACACACCUGGCAGGCGCCCGCUCAGCCCCACACUCUGCUUUGAUGCCCACAGAAGGAGCUCAACAGCUCGUGUGUGUUUGAAGGGCACAGAGAACAGAUGCCAAGUCCUCAGCUUUUCUUGUGCAACAGCCUGGGCUCGUUGCUGGGCUGUGUGCACUGUGGCCUGGCUUUCAUGUCUCAUUCACACCUGGGCUGUGUAGGUCUUGGCAGAACUUUUGAGAGACUCUGGUAACUGUUACACUGGAACCUUUUGGGACUUCCAGGAGGCUCUUGGACAAGACUUCUCGUGCUGCAGGCCGUGAACGUGCAGCCCUCUGCAAAUGCCACUUAUAAGGGUCUGAGCUUUGGCUUUGCACACUUUCAGGGGCCUUUUAUGAAAUGUUUUCUCUCGUUAUUUCAGUGUUUCUUCCUCUAAACGAGUAUUUCUUAUUCCUCUCUUUUUUUGCGUCACAGAAUUACCUGGCAACCAGAGGUUUGACAUGGAAAAACAUGUUGACCGAGAGCCUCGUGGCUCUCCAGCGGGGAGUGUUUCUGCUGUCUGAUUACAGAGUCACGGGAGACACCGUUCUGUGUUACUGCUGUGGCCUGCGCAGCUUCCGUGAGCUGACCUAUCAGUAUCGGCAGAACAUUCCUGCUUCCGAGUUGCCAGUGGCCGUAACAUCCCGUCCUGACUGCUACUGGGGCCGUAACUGCCGCACUCAGGUGAAAGCUCACCACGCCAUGAAAUUCAAUCAUAUCUGUGAACAGACAAGGUUCAAAAACUAAGCAUCCAGAGGCCCUGAGCAGCUUUCAGCACUGGAGGUGAAGAGAGCGUGUUUUUAAAAUACAGAGACAAGCACGUCAAGGUGUUUUCACAGCCCCCUGAGGGAAGGGACGCAGGGUCUCCGACAGGUGCUCUGGGGUGACUCUUCUGUGGAGCUUUACCCUCUGAGUGAGACCCUCCCCAGAGCCCCGGGGGCCGCAGCCCGCCCUCCUGGUGAGCGCUGGGCAGGGCUCGUGGUGGCAUCAGCAGCAGAGACGAAGCCUUUCUGUAACAUGCGGCCGUCCCGCCGAGAGGGGCAGUUUUGCUCUUUUGUACAUUUUCCGAAACUACAGUUAAAGCAGAAGUCUGUUUUUAGGAAAAGUUUCAAGGGAGAAGGGCAAGUUUAUCAAAAACAUUGUUUCAGGAGAAGGGAGCAUAAGUUUACAGCCUACAGGACGUACACAAUAUCCUGCUGCUGGGAAAACCACAGCAUUUUAUCUAUUUUUUAUUUUAAUAGGUUUGGUGCUUAUCUUCUAAUAAGAUUUAAAUGUCACAAACUGUAGCACAAAUAAUAUAAUUUAUAAUUUACAAAUUGACUAAAAUUGGGUAUAGUAUGGUAUUUGAAAGAAUAAGCAUAUGCUUCUGUUUAUUAAAAAAAGAAACCUUCCAAUGUCCAAAACUGCUAACCCUCGACGUGGCCGCCAAGUUAGUCGCUCCUUGCUAACCGGUGAGUGACCGCGGCCCCGAGCCUGGGGCUGGACGCAGGUCCCAGGACAUGCUGCUCCCUUGUGUGAGUGACCGCGGCCCCGAGCCUGGGGCUGGACGCAGGUCCCAGGACGUGCUGCUCCCUUGUGUGAGUGACCACGGCCCCAAGCCCAGGGCUGGAGGCAGGUCCCAGGACGCGCCGCUCCCUCAUGCUGCCCGGGCCCUUCCUCCAAGACCCUACAGAGCCUGAGGGGCACCUUGGCUUCCGCCUGUGCUAGCUUUGCCAUGUCAUCUGGAAUAAUACUUGAAAUUUUGAUUUUUGGAAAAAAAAGUUUUUUAUCUUUUGUUGAAAUCACCUGUUAUCCUUGUUUGUAAACUGAUAACUUUUUUGCUUCUUCUCAGGAAUACAGUUUUCAACUGUUGUCUUGCUCUUGAUAGAAACUGAGAAGCAGCAAUCUGUAUUUGUGGAGGAAAGUCCUCUCUUUUGCAUAUUCUAAUAAAUGAGCCGCGUUUGCUCCUC
rnacentral:lncRNA from 1 species